AGAGUUUGAUCCUGGCUCAGAACGAACGUUAGCGGCGCGCUUAACACAUGCAAGUCGAACGAGAACGUCCCUUCGGGGGUUAGUAAAGUGGCGCACGGGUGAGUAUUAUGUGGGUUAUUUACCUUAUGGUGGGGGAUAACAUCCCGAAAGGGGUGCUAAUACCGCAUACGUCCACUUCGGUGGGGAAAGGCGGCUUCGGUUGUUGCCGGAAGAUGAGCCCGCGGCCCAUCAGCUUGUUGGUAGGGUAAUGGUUUACCAAGGUUUUGAUGGGUAGCUGGUUUGAGAGGAUGAUCAGCUACACUGGAACUGAGACACGGUCCAGAUUCCUACGGGAGGCAGCAGUGGGGAAUAUUGCGCAAUGGGUGAAAGUUUGAUGCAGCGACGCCGCGUGGGUGAUGAAGGUUUUCGGAUCGUAAAGCCCUGUGGGAGAGGGACGAACAACUUGUGGGAAUAAUAUCUCGCAGGUCUGACGGUACCUCUCCAGAAAGCACCGGCUAACUCCGUGCCAGUAGUUGUGGUAAUACGGAGGGUGCAAACGUUGUUCGGAAUCACUGGGCGUAAAGCGCGUGUAGGCGGCUUGGCAAGUUAGGUGUGAAAUUUUUUGGUUUAAUUGAGGAUGUGUAUUUGAAAUUGUUUUGCUAGAGUAUGGGAGAGGGUUGUAGAAUUUUUGGUGUAGAGGUGAAAUUUGUAGAUAUUGGGAGGAAUAUUGGUGGUGAAGGUGGUAACCUGGACCGAUACUGACGCUGAGACGCGAAAGCGUGGGGAGUAAACAGGAUUAGAUAUUCUGGUAGUCCACGCCGUAAACGUUGGAUAUUAGGUGCUGCGGGUAUUGAUUUUUGCGGUGCCGGAGCUAACGUGUUAAGUAUCCCGUUUGGGGAGUACGGUCGCAAGAUUAAAACUCAAAGGAAUUGACGGGGGCCUGUACAAGCGGUGGAGCAUGUGGUUUAAUUUGAAGCAAUGUGUAGAACCUUAUUUGGGCUAGAAAAGCAUGGAAGCCCUUUGAAAAGAGGGCGUGCCCUUCGGGGAGUUGUGAUUUAGGUGUUGUAUGGCUGUCGUCAGCUUGUGUUGUGAGAUGUUGGGUUAAGUUUUGUAAUGAGUGCAACCCCUGUCGCUAAUUGCCAGUGGUUUGGCUGGGUAUUUUAGCGAGACUGUUGGUGUUAAGCCGGAGGAAGGAGGGGAUGACGUCAAGUUUUCAUGGCCCUUAUGUUUAGGGCUACACACGUGCUACAAUGGUCGGUACAGAGAGUAGUUAAUUUGUGAGGGUGUGUGAAUUUUAAAAAGUUGGUUUUAGUACGGAUUGGAGUCUGUAAUUUGACUCCAUGAAGGCGGAAUCGCUAGUAAUCGCGGAUUAGUAUGUUGCGGUGAAUACGUUCCCGGGCCUUGUACACACCGCCCGUCACACCAUGGGAGUUGACUACUCCAGAAGUCGUCGCGCUAACCUUCGGGAGGCAGGCGCCUAAGGAGUGGUUGGUAACUGGGGUGAAGUUGAAAUAAGGUA
rnacentral:rRNA from 1 species